UACGGAGGGGGCUAGCGUUGUUCGGAAUUACUGGGCGUAAAGCGCACGUAGGCGGCUUUGUAAGUUAGAGGUUAAAGCCCAGGGCUUAACCCUGGAAUUGCCUUUAAGACUGCAUCGCUCGAAUUGUGGAGAGGUGAGUGGAAUUCCGAGUGUAGAGGUGAAAUUCGUAGAUAUUCGGAAGAACACCAGUGGCGAAGGCGACUCACUGGACACAUAUUGACGCUGAGGUGCGAAAGCGUGGGGAGCAAACAGG
rnacentral:rRNA from 1 species